CACGGGACCCCGCUCAUUCCUUGAUCGACCCGGGCUAUAUAGAGAGGUACAAGAGACUGAACCCCUCCACCUUUGCAAGGGGAUCCUCUUUUGAAGAGGCCCAGUACUGGCUGGCAGAGACUGAGAGAGUUUUUAGGACCUUGGGAGUAGUUCUUGAGCAGAGAGCUGCCCUUGCUUCCUACAUGCUGGUAGGGGAAGCAGGACGUUGGUGGGAGCUCAAGCAGACCACCCUGCCUACACCAGUCACUUGGGAGCAGUUCUUAGCGG
rnacentral:lncRNA from 1 species